UCUCUGGUAGUAUAUCGGUUAGUACACGCGCCUGUCACCUGUGUUCGCGCGAAAGCUGGGUUCGACUCCCAGCCAGAGAG